GGUUAAGCGACUAAGCGUACACGGUGGAUGCCCUGGCAGUCAGAGGCGAUGAAGGACGUGCUAAUCUGCGAAAAGCGUCGGUAAGGUGAUAUGAACCGUUAUAACCGGCGAUGUCCGAAUGGGGAAACCCAGUGCAAUUCGUUGCACUAUCGUUAACUGAAUACAUAGGUUAACGAGGCGAACCGGGGGAACUGAAACAUCUAAGUACCCCGAGGAAAAGAAAUCAACCGAGAUUCCCCCAGUAGCGGCGAGCGAACGGGGAGCAGCCCAGAGUCUGAAUCAGCUUGUGUGUUAGUGGAACGGUCUGGAAAGUCCGACGGUACAGGGUGAUAGUCCCGUACACCAAAAUGCACAGGCUGUGAACUCGAAGAGUAGGGCGGGACACGUGGUAUCCUGUCUGAAUAUGGGGGGACCAUCCUCCAAGGCUAAAUACUCCUGACUGACCGAUAGUGAACCAGUACCGUGAGGGAAAGGCGAAAAGAACCCCGGCGAGGGGAGUGAAAAAGAACCUGAAACCGUGUACGUACAAGCAGUGGGAGCACCUUCGGGUGUGACUGCGUACCUUUUGUAUAAUGGGUCAGCGACUUAUAUUCUGUAGCAAGGUUAACCGUAUAGGGGAGCCGCAGGGAAACCGAGUCUUAACUGGGCGUUAAGUUGCAGGGUAUAGACCCGAAACCCGGUGAUCUAGCCAUGGGCAGGUUGAAGGUUGGGUAACACUAACUGGAGGACCGAACCGACUAAUGUUGAAAAAUUAGCGGAUGACUUGUGGCUGGGGUGAAAGGCCAAUCAAACCGGGAGAUAGCUGGUUCUCCCCGAAAGCUAUUUAGGUAGCGCCUCGUGAAUUCAUCUUCGGGGGUAGAGCACUGUUUCGGCUAGGGGGUCAUCCCGACUUACCAACCCGAUGCAAACUACGAAUACCGAAGAAUGUUAUCACGGGAGACACACGGCGGGUGCUAACGUCCGUCGUGAAGAGGGAAACAACCCAGACCGCCAGCUAAGGUCCCAAAGUCAUGGUUAAGUGGGAAACGAUGUGGGAAGGCACAGACAGCCAGGAUGUUGGCUUAGAAGCAGCCAUCAUUUAAAGAAAGCGUAAUAGCUCACUGGUCGAGUCGGCCUGCGCGGAAGAUGUAACGGGGCUAAACCAUGCACCGAAGCUGCGGCAGCGACACUAUGUGUUGUUGGGUAGGGGAGCGUUCUGUAAGCCUGCGAAGGUGACCUGUGAGGGUUGCUGGAGGUAUCAGAAGUGCGAAUGCUGACAUAAGUAACGAUAAAGCGGGUGAAAAGCCCGCUCGCCGGAAGACCAAGGGUUCCUGUCCAACGUUAAUCGGGGCAGGGUGAGUCGACCCCUAAGGCGAGGCCGAAAGGCGUAGUCGAUGGGAAACAGGUUAAUAUUCCUGUACUUGGUGUUACUGCGAAGGGGGGACGGAGAAGGCUAUGUUAGCCGGGCGACGGUUGUCCCGGUUUAAGCAUGUAGGCUGGUUAUCCAGGCAAAUCCGGAUAAUCAAGGCUGAGGUGUGAUGACGAGGCACUACGGUGCUGAAGUAACAAAUGCCCUGCUUCCAGGAAAAGCCUCUAAGCAUCAGGUAACAUCAAAUCGUACCCCAAACCGACACAGGUGGUCAGGUAGAGAAUACCAAGGCGCUUGAGAGAACUCGGGUGAAGGAACUAGGCAAAAUGGUGCCGUAACUUCGGGAGAAGGCACGCUGGUGUGUAGGUGAAGUCCCUGCGGAUGGAGCUGAGACCAGUCGAAGAUACCAGCUGGCUGCAACUGUUUAUUAAAAACACAGCACUGUGCAAACACGAAAGUGGACGUAUACGGUGUGACGCCUGCCCGGUGCCGGAAGGUUAAUUGAUGGGGUUAUCCGUAAGGAGAAGCUCUUGAUCGAAGCCCCGGUAAACGGCGGCCGUAACUAUAACGGUCCUAAGGUAGCGAAAUUCCUUGUCGGGUAAGUUCCGACCUGCACGAAUGGCGUAAUGAUGGCCAGGCUGUCUCCACCCGAGACUCAGUGAAAUUGAACUCGCUGUGAAGAUGCAGUGUACCCGCGGCAAGACGGAAAGACCCCGUGAACCUUUACUAUAGCUUGACACUGAACAUUGAGCCUUGAUGUGUAGGAUAGGUGGGAGGCUUUGAAGCGUGGACGCCAGUCUGCGUGGAGCCAACCUUGAAAUACCACCCUUUAAUGUUUGAUGUUCUAACGUUGGCCCCUGACCGGGGUUGCGGACAGUGUCUGGUGGGUAGUUUGACUGGGGCGGUCUCCUCCCAAAGCGUAACGGAGGAGCACGAAGGUUAGCUAAUCCUGGUCGGACAUCAGGAGGUUAGUGCAAUGGCAUAAGCUAGCUUGACUGCGAGCGUGACGGCGCGAGCAGGUGCGAAAGCAGGUCAUAGUGAUCCGGUGGUUCUGAAUGGAAGGGCCAUCGCUCAACGGAUAAAAGGUACUCCGGGGAUAACAGGCUGAUACCGCCCAAGAGUUCAUAUCGACGGCGGUGUUUGGCACCUCGAUGUCGGCUCAUCACAUCCUGGGGCUGAAGUAGGUCCCAAGGGUAUGGCUGUUCGCCAUUUAAAGUGGUACGCGAGCUGGGUUUAGAACGUCGUGAGACAGUUCGGUCCCUAUCUGCCGUGGGCGCUGGAGAAUUGAGGGGGGCUGCUCCUAGUACGAGAGGACCGGAGUGGACGCAUCACUGGUGUUCGGGUUGUCAUGCCAAUGGCACUGCCCGGUAGCUAAAUGCGGAAGAGAUAAGUGCUGAAAGCAUCUAAGCACGAAACUUGCCCCGAGAUGAGUUCUCCCUGAGACUUUAAGUCUCCUGAAGGAACGUUGAAGACGACGACGUUGAUAGGCCGGGUGUGUAAGCGCAGCGAUGCGUUGAGCUAACCGGUACUAAUGAACCGUGAGGCUUAACCUU
rnacentral:rRNA from 1 species